GCCUUCGUAGUGUAGUGGUCAGGACGUUCGACUCGUAUUCGAGAGGUCCGUGGUUCGAGUCCUGGUGAUGACA
rnacentral:tRNA from 1 species